rnacentral:rRNA from 1 species
GCGGUAGAGAGAAGCUUGCUUCUCUUGAGAGCGGCGGACGGGUGAGUAAUGCCUAGGAAUCUGCCUGGUAGUGGGGGAUAACGCUCGGAAACGGACGCUAAUACCGCAUACGUCCUACGGGAGAAAGCAGGGGACCUUCGGGCCUUGCGCUAUCAGAUGAGCCUAGGUCGGAUUAGCUAGUUGGUGAGGUAAUGGCUCACCAAGGCGACGAUCCGUAACUGGUCUGAGAGGAUGAUCAGUCACACUGGAACUGAGACACGGUCCAGACUCCUACGGGAGGCAGCAGUGGGGAAUAUUGGACAAUGGGCGAAAGCCUGAUCCAGCCAUGCCGCGUGUGUGAAGAAGGUCUUCGGAUUGUAAAGCACUUUAAGUUGGGAGGAAGGGCAUUAACCUAAUACGUUGGUGUCUUGACGUUACCGACAGAAUAAGCACCGGCUAACUCUGUGCCAGCAGCCGCGGUAAUACAGAGGGUGCAAGCGUUAAUCGGAAUUACU